AACGAACGCUGGCGGCGCGUCUUAAACAUGCAAGUCGAACGGCAGGAAGGGGCUUGCCCCUUCUGAGAGUGGCGGACUGGUGAGUAACACGUGGGUGACAUACCUUUUAGUUGGGGAUAGCUAUUAGAAAUAGUAGGUAAUACCGAAUGUGACCGUACCUGUUAGAGGGGUACGAGGAAAGGAGCUAAGGCUUCGCUAAAAGAAUGGCUCGCGGCCCAUUAUGCUCGUUGGUGAGGUAACGGCCCACCAAGGCGAUGAUGGGUAUCCGGCCUGAGAGGGUGAACGGACACAUUGGGACUGAGAUACGGCCCAGACUUCUACGGGAGGCAGCAGUUAAGAAUAGUCCGCAAUGGACGAAAGUCUGACGGAGCGACGCCGCGUGGAUGAAGAAUGCCGAAAGGUUGUAAAAUCCUUUUAAGCCUGAUGAAUAAGCACAGUAGGGAAUGACUGUGCGGUGACCGUAGGGCUUGAAUAAGCACCGGCUAAUUACGUG
rnacentral:rRNA from 1 species